GACGAACGCUGGCGGCGUGCUUAACACAUGCAAGUCGAACGGAAAGGCCCUGCUUUUGUGGGGUGCUCGAGUGGCGAACGGGUGAGUAACACGUGAGUAACCUGCCCUUGACUUUGGGAUAACUUCAGGAAACUGGGGCUAAUACCGGAUAGGAGCUCCUGCUGCAUGGUGGGGGUUGGAAAGUUUCGGCGGUUGGGGAUGGACUCGCGGCUUAUCAGCUUGUUGGUGGGGUAGUGGCUUACCAAGGCUUUGACGGGUAGCCGGCCUGAGAGGGUGACCGGCCACAUUGGGACUGAGAUGCGGCCCAGACUCCUACGGGAGGCAGCAGUGGGGAAUAUUGCACAAUGGGCGGAGGCCUGAUGCAGCAACGCCGCGUGCGGGAUGACGGCCUUCGGGUUGUAAACCGCUUUCGCCUGUGACGAGGCGUGAGUGACGGUAAUGGGUAAAGAAGCACCGGCUAACUACGUG
rnacentral:rRNA from 1 species